CAAAGGAGUCACGCUUGCAAGAUGUCAACACUGACGGUUGGUACAGGUUUUUGUGUGUUAGCAGUGGAGUAAACCAUUGAGGUUUACGCCACUUUACACCAUGGAGGUCCUGGGAGGACAGUUUAGCGACAUGACUCCACAGGAGCUGGCGGCUCCUGUCAACACCGUAGCUAGUUUGCAACAGGAAUUAUUCAUGGAACAAAAGCUCUGGAGAACUCGAUACCCUACAUGGGAUCAGUGCAGAAUAACAAGGGUCAACAUGUCUGUGGAGAAUUCCUCAUCACUGAAGACUUUGUGCUCACUGCUGCACACUGUGACCGGUUGUGAGUUAGAUUUCCUGUUCAUGAAGUUCAUCCUGAACAUGGUAAUGACAUCAUUGAAAGCAGCAUCAGUUUCAUGUGAUGUAUUUGUAGAAUAAUUAUAUUUUUAAAAGAGUUUUUACAUGAAAAUAUGUUUCUAUAUGUGUUACUAUUCUAUGGCUGGAUGGGGAAAAUUGAAACUGAUGGCGAACCUGUUGAUGAGCCGAUGGUGGUGGACGUGUCUGUCAUUGAACCAAAGGUCUGUAAGAAACACUGGCCUGGUCUUCCUGCCGGUGUUUCCUGUGCAGGUGGAUAUGGAACAACCAAAGGAUUCUGGCAGGGUGAGGUAAUACCAGGAUGCGCUGUAGAAUCCUGACCACUUUGUCAUGGGAAUUGAUCUGCUGCUGACCGCAAGGCACUGCAGCGGGUGAUAUAAACAGCCCAAUUAUUCUACCAUUCCACCCUUAUCUGUAUUUAUACAUGUGUAAUGACAAUAAAGUGAAAUCCUAAUCCUAAAAUGUGGAUGGUGU